rnacentral:rRNA from 1 species
UACGUAGGGGCUAGCGUUAUCCGGAAUUACUGGGCGUAAAGGGUGCGUAGGUGGUUUCUUAAGUCAGAGGUGAAAGGCUACGGCUCAACCGUAGUAAGCCUUUGAAACUGGGAAACUUGAGUGCAGGAGAGGAGAGUGGAAUUCCUAGUGUAGCGGUGAAAUGUGUAGAUAUUAGGAGGAACACCAGUUGCGAAGGCGGCUCUCUGGUCUGUAACUGACGCUGAGGCUCGAAAGCGUGGGGAGCAAACAGGAUUAGAUACCCUGGUAGUCCCUGAG